UACGUAGGGGGCUAGCGUUGUCCGGAAUCAUUGGGCGUAAAGGGCUCGUAGGCGGUUUGUCGCGUCGGGAGUGAAAUCCACUGGCUUAACUGGUGGCUUGCUUUCGAUACGGGCAGACUGGAGGUAUGCAGGGGAGAACGGAAUUCCUGGUGUAGCGGUGAAAUGCGCAGAUAUCAAGAGGAACACCUGCGGCGAAGGCGGGUUGCUGGGCUGACACUGACGCUGAGGCGCGAAAGCUAGGGGAGCGAACGGG
rnacentral:rRNA from 1 species